GAGAAAUCUAGUCUUAACUCCACCCCGGACAGCUGCCUUCAAAAGGAGCCAAAAUCUCAGCCUGCCUAAGUAUGAAUGGAUGUCAAAGGGAAAGGUGGAGGACAACAGCCCGUGGCAAGGACAGCUUCAUGAGCUGGAGAAGGAUCGUUGUCCUGGGCGCUGAUCAGCCUGGAUUGUAAAUGAACGCGAUUUUCUGACAGCAGCGCAAAACGCUCCGGAUACUGAUGCGCUCACGUGACUUUGUCCAGACUCCUCUCCAUGGCGCUCUAUCCAUCGUGAUGGACACAAGGGCACAGCUUCCUGCUUCUCUCAUUCUUGGGCCUGGGAUGAUGAUGCAAUAAUCAUCAUCUGAAACAUUUCAAGCUGGAUGUUAGAGCAAAAGAGCAUAUGGCACGGAUGUAUUCAUUCUGAAAGCUUCAUUCUAUUGAAAUAGAUUAUUAGAGGUCUGCCCAUGCCCUACCGAGGUCCUGAGUCUCCCAGAACACACCAAAUCAGCCCCCUGCAGACAGACAGGUCUGUGCACACCCUACCGAGGAACUGAGUCAUGCAGAAGACACCCAAUCACCCCGCUGCAGACAGGCAACCAC
ensembl:lncRNA